GAUGAACGCUGGCGGCGUGCCUAAUACAUGCAAGUCGAGCGAACAGACGAGGAGCUUGCUCCUCUGACGUUAGCGGCGGACGGGUGAGUAACACGUGGAUAACCUACCUAUAAGACUGGGAUAACUUCGGGAAACCGGAGCUAAUACCGGAUAAUAUAUUGAACCGCAUGGUUCAAUAGUGAAAGACGGUUUUGCUGUCACUUAUAGAUGGAUCCGCGCCGCAUUAGCUAGUUGGUAAGGUAACGGCUUACCAAGGCAACGAUGCGUAGCCGACCUGAGAGGGUGAUCGUCCACACUGGAACUGAGACACGGUCCAGACUCCUACGGGAGGCAGCAGUAGGGAAUCUUCCGCAAUGGGCGAAAGCCUGACGGAGCAACGCCGCGUGAGUGAUGAAGGUCUUCGGAUCGUAAAGCUCUGUUAUUAGGGAAGAACAAAUGUGUAAGAAACUAUGCACGUCUUGACGGUACCUAAUCAGAAAGCCCCGGCUAACUACGUG
rnacentral:rRNA from 1 species